rnacentral:lncRNA from 1 species
CGUCGCACGCGGCCAAAUAUAAACAUAUAUAUACAUGAGGUGUAGGUGUGGACAGACGGCAAGUGUGUGCUCACAACCUAUGAUAGAGAGCAGAGGCAUGUGGUGUGCAGCUGUGCAUAUCAAAUAAAGAUAGGAUAAGGUACAGAGUGAAGGAAGACUCAGCUUUUUGACUGUUCUGACCACCACAUAUCGCCGAAGCCCGAAGCCAUGAUUGAAGGGAGGUGCCCAGAUGCCCGCUAAUUGACUAAUUGAAGGAGAACAUAGCUUGAUGGCAAAAUCAAUUUCUCAGGUAUCAAAGUGAGCUCCAGAAGGCGAGUUAUACAAGUUUAAGUGGGCGGAGAUGAUGAGUUAAGCGGAGCAUUUGGCCAGCGGUGGUGUUCGCCGGCGGAGGAAGUUAGGCGGUGAAGCUGGCUAUGCCAGUGAAGUUUUGGUGGUUCCUAGCGGAGCUUUGGCCGCUGAGGAAGUGUGGCGGAGCGGAGCUUCAAAGGGGGAGGGUUGCUGACGGAGUUUGGCGGGAGAAUGUGCCGCCGACUGAAGCUCAGACGCUUGCUUAGCGGAAGGGAGGUUCCGCUGAUGGAUACGAGCGGAGCAGCUGAGGCUAGCGGAAGCAAUGCGGGGCUGGCUGAGCUCAGUGUGCUGGCGGUGUUGGCUUGGCCGGGAAGUAGCUGCUAGGCGCUGGCGCUGGUAGCCGAUUGCUUGAUGAGCGCCGGUGUUACCGCUGACAGAGAGCGGCGGUGCCGCUGAAGAAGUGUGGCGGUGGAGCCCUUUCGGCGGUGAAGCUCACGGAGCCUGCUGUGAGCGGGGUUUUUCCGCGAAGCCUUUUGGUCAAGAGAGCUCUUGGUUGGUCAGCGGUGGUGGAGACUCGGGAGUUUGGUGGACUCGGAACUCAGCGGAGCCAUGCCCAGCGGAGGCUCCGAGCUCGGCGGUUCUUGGAGCUCAACGGAGCUAGCGUGCAAUGGAGCUGGAGUGCAGCGGAGCUUUGCCGGCCGAGCUGGAGGAGCGGAGCUGUGCGAGAGGUGAUUGUUGGUGACCUGGCGCUCGGCGGAGGAAGAGUUCGGCGGUGAUCCAGUUCGGUGGAGCGGAAUCCGCUGCUAGAGUCCGGCGGAGAUGCAACCUGCAAUCAGGGAGCUCGCAGCGGGGACUGCACACCGGCGCUGUAGCCUGCAGCUGAGACCGGAGCGAUGCUGUGCGAGCAGCGGAGCAGGGGAGAGCCGGGCGGUGCAGAACUGGGCGGAGCAAGGCGCUGGGGAUGCUGAGGAGGGUUGGGCGGAGUAUGUCCGCUGACUAAGUUCGGCGGAGGUGAUGGUAUUGUGCGAGCUGCUGCUGGCGGUUUGAUGUAGCGAAGGAGGGUGGCCAAAGUAAUUCUCUGGGUGUCCAGAGAAAAUUGGCACAGAGAUUUUUUUUUUUUUUUUUUUUUUUUUGAUGUAAGAGUUGACUUUAUUGUUGGGCGUUGACCAACCAUGGUCAGCGUUGACCAAGCCUUGAUGUGCGUUGACCUGCUCCGCCGGGGGUUGACCGACCCCGCCGGGCGUUGACCAGCCAUGUUGGGCGUUGACCGACUCCGCUGGGCGUUGACCAACCACGCUGGGCUUUGACCGGACCCGCUGGGCGUUGACCAGCCAUGUUGGGCGUUGACCGACUCCGCCGGGCGUUGACCGGACCCUAAUUUGAUGUUGGAUGAGCGUUGACUUCGACGCUUAUGGGUCAAAGUUCAUGGUAGGUGACGAAGCCUUUGUGUUGGCUUCCCACAGACGGCGCCAAUGUUAAUGCUUGGAUCCGUGGGGAUCUAAUUAACGAUAAGUAAAAGAGAGAGAGAUUGACACAAGAUGUAUAGUGGUUCGCCUCCGCAUGAGCGGGAGACUACGUCCACUUGAAAGCUAUACUAGUGUGUGUUGAGCCUUGCGGCCUAACAAGAUUACAAGAGAUGUAAUGAAUGUGUUGAGUUGUGGGAGGAGACAUUCCUUUAUAGAUGAAGGAAUGCUUCUCAUUUACUUGUUCUUCGAUGUGGGACAAGCAAAGUUACUAUUCUAGUCUAUUUAACAUGUAGAAAGCUAUGUUAUGGGGGCAUCUUGGCAAGGGCGGAAAGGUGGCUUCCCGGUGGCGGAUUUGCGACUUCCGGAUAUCGCUGCGUAGCCUGAACAUAGGGCUACACGAUGCAUGUCUCGGUUGGGCCUUGCCAUGUCUUGUGGAUGUCCCAAAGUAGGUGUUACUUAUGCUUGGUGAUGUAGUAAAUACUCCAUAUUAUUGGAGGUAUGUACACUCUGAUUUGUAACCAUCUUACUAUUAUAGCUUCUCUUUUUACGGUAAUUAAAGUAACCUUAAAAUAAAUUAGCAGUUUCUUCAUUCUAAUGUUUAGGCUUCAAUGGACGCAUUACAGUUAAUCAGUUACUCAAUUA